rnacentral:tRNA from 1 species
GAGGCUAUAGCUCAGUGGUGGAGCGCAUGCCUAGCGUGCGUGAGGUCCUGGGUUCAAUUCCCAGUACCUCCA